UACGGGGGGGGCAAGCGUUGUUCGGAAUUACUGGGCGUAAAGGGCUCGUAGGCGGCCAACUAAGUCAGACGUGAAAUCCCCAGGCUCAACCUGGGAACUGCGUCUGAUACUGAUUGGCUUGAAUCCGGGAGAGGGAUGCAGAAUUCCAGGUGUAGCGGUGAAAUGCGUAGAUAUCUGGAGGAAUACCGGUGGCGAAGGCGGCAUCCUGGACCGAGAUUGACACUGAGGAGCGAAAGCCAGGGGAGCAAACGGG
rnacentral:rRNA from 1 species